CCGUCUUCCAGCACGCGCAGCUUCGCCUUGCGGUUCAACAGGUCAAACACCUGGAGCACAAACGCUACCAGGUGAGCUAUGCCACAAAACAACUCUUACAAGCUCAGGUGAGCCAUCUUACAAAACAACUCUUACAAUCUCAAGUGAGCCAUCUUACAAAAUAACUUUUACAAGUUCAGGGCAUGUGGCAAUACGGGAAAUACAGUUAUGCAGUUUUGAAGCCGGCAAAACCCACUGUCAUAAGUACAUAUUUGAUAUCACAAAAUACAAGUAGAAAUAAUACAAAUGUUUAUAAAUAUUGUUUUUUCAUAUGAUUGCCUUCACUGCAUUUUCAUUGUCUUACACACUGAACAUGAAUACGUCGU